UGUCCAUAUUGAGACAAAGUGGGGCACCAAGUGUGAGUGACACAUAAGCGGCCCCUGUAGGAACAAAAAGAAACGUGCAGGUUGGAAAGGAGG
rnacentral:lncRNA from 1 species